AUUGAACGCUGGCGGCAGGCCUAACACAUGCAAGUCGAGCGGAAACGAGUUAUCUGACCCUUCGGGUGACGAUAUCGGCGUCGAGCGGCGGACGGGUGAGUAAUGCCUGGGAAAUUGCCCUGAUGUGGGGGAUAACCAUUGGAAACGAUGGCUAAUACCGCAUGAUGCCUACGGGCCAAAGAGGGGGACCUUCGGGCCUCUCGCGUCAGGAUAUGCCUAGGUGGGAUUAGCUAGUUGGUGAGGUAAGGGCUCACCAAGGCGACGAUCCCUAGCUGGUCUGAGAGGAUGAUCAGCCACACUGGAACUGAGACACGGUCCAGACUCCUACGGGAGGCAGCAGUGGGGAAUAUUGCACAAUGGGCGCAAGCCUGAUGCAGCCAUGCCGCGUGUGUGAAGAAGGCCUUCGGGUUGUAAAGCACUUUCAGUCGUGAGGAAGGCGGGUACGUUAAUAGCGUAUUCGUUUGACGUUAGCGACAGAAGAAGCACCGGCUAACUCCGUGC
rnacentral:rRNA from 1 species